rnacentral:rRNA from 1 species
AGCUUACUGGGAUACAACUGACGCUGAGGCACGAAAGCGUGGGGAUCAAACAGGAUUAGAUACCCUGGUAGUCCACGCAGUAAACGAUGAAUACUAGCCGUAUGCGAUAUACUGUAUGUGGCAAAGCGAAAGCGUUAAGUAUUCCACCUGGGGAGUACGUUCGCAAGAAUGAAACUCAAAGGAAUUGACGGGGGCCCGCACAAGCGGAGGAACAUGUGGUUUAAUUCGAUGAUACGCGAGGAACCUUACCCGGGCUUGAAAUGCAGAAGACCGACGAAGAAAUUCGUUUUCCAGCAAUGGCUUCUGUGUAGGUGCUGCAUGGUUGUCGUCAGCUCGUGCCGUGAGGUGUCGGCUUAAGUGCCAUAACGAGCGCAACCCUUGUCAUUAGUUACUAACAGGUCAUGCUGAGGACUCUAAUGAGACUGCCAUCGUAAGAUGCGAGGAAGGUGGGGAUGACGUCAAAUCAGCACGGCCCUUACGUCCGGGGCGACACACGUGUUGCAAUGGGGGGUACAGAGGGUUGCUACUGCGCGAGCAGAUGCUAAUCUCUUAAAGCCUCUCUCAGUUCGGAUCGAAGUCUGCAACUCGACUUCGUGAAGCUGGAUUCGCUAGUAAUCGCGCAUCAGCCAUGGCGCGGUGAAUACGUUCCCGGGCCUUGUACACACCGCCCGUCAAGCCAUGGAAGCUGGGGGGACCUGAAGUACGUAACCGCAAGGAGCGUCCUAGGGUAAAACUAGUAACUGGGGCUAAGUCGUAACAAGGUAGCCGUA